GCCUGGGUGGCUCAGAGGGUUGAGCGUCUGACUUCGGCUCAGGUCAUGAUCUCAUGGUUCGUGGGUUCAAGCCCCAUGUCGGGCU
rnacentral:tRNA from 1 species